rnacentral:tRNA from 1 species
GCCCGGCUACCUCAGUCGGUAGAGCAUGGGGCUCUUAAUCCCAGGGUCAUGGGUUCGAGCCCCACGUUGGGCG